rnacentral:lncRNA from 1 species
CUGUUGUGCACUGCCUGUCCCAAUACUAAUGCUAAGGGCAUUUAUGAUGUUCACAGACUACUUGAAAACCAAGGGAAUCAUAAGAGGUUUUCUCAAUCCACCUACAGGCCAGGCAGCUGGCAGCUGCUGGUGAAAAUGCUUGCUCACAGCUCCAGGACAUGUGUGACUGGCUGCAAGGGGAUAAACUAAUGGGAGAGUGGUAGACUUCUUGUGGAGAAAGAGCUCCACUCCAUAGGAUAGUUCCCUCCAGAAGCAGACAAGCAGCUGAACAAACAGCUUGUGGUACAUCAUCAUGAUUGCCACUUAAACAUGAGAAAAGCAGAUUUUCUGUGAGAGUUUCACCCCUUAAGCAACUUCCACCUGCAAAUGUGCCCAGGCAGUGUUCAUCAUUACCAGGAGAUUGUAGGUUUUUCAACCAAAACAAUGGAUUCUUUCGUCUGUUAUGUCUAGAUUGGAGACAGAUCAAAAGCAAGUGCGCAGAGGAGAUCCAACACAGCCUGGGUGUGAGAGAGCCUGAAGAGACUGAUGUUCUGCAGCAGAGAUCAGGCCCCAUGUCUGGAAGUACUGGGAAGAGAUCAGCUGCUCCCAGGAAAGAAACAGCUUUGUCUCCUCUCAGUGAGCAUACUCCCAUGGAACCUGUUAAAAGUGGAUCUCCUCUGCAAAUACCUCACACCAGAUGAAAAAAACAUUUUGGGACAAUAAAGGCAUGGAUGAAAAUAUAGG